rnacentral:rRNA from 1 species
UGCAAGUCGAGCGGACAGAUGGGAGCUUUGCUCCUGAUGUUUAGCGGCGGGAACAGGGCCGAAGUUAAACACGUGAGGUAGACACUGACCUGUAUGAGCUGGGAUAAGCUCCCGGGAAACCGGGACUAAUACCAGUUUGGUUGUUUGAACCGCAUGGUUCAAAACAUAAAAAGGUGGCUUUGGCUACCACUUACAGAUGGACCCGCGGCGCAUUAGCUAGUUGGUGAGGUAAUGGCUCACCAAGGCAACGAUGCGUAGCCGACAUGAGAGGGUGAUUGGCCACACUGUGAGUGAGACACGUCCCAGACUCCUACGGGAGGCAGCAGUAGGGAAUCUUCCGCAAUGGACGAAAGUCUGAUGGAGCAACGCCGCGUGAGUGAUGAAGGUUUUCGGAUCGUAAAGCUCUGUUGUUAGGGAAGAACAAGUACCGUUUGAAUAGGGCGGUACCUUGACGGUACCUAACCAGAAAGCCACGGCUAAUUACGUGCCAGCAGCCGCGGUAAUACGUAGGUGGCAAGCGUUGUCCGGAAUUAUUGGGCGUAAAGGGCUCGCGGGCGGUUUGUUAAGUAUGAUGUGAAAGCCCCCGGUUCAACCGGGGAGGGUCAUUGGAAACUGGGGAACUUGAGUGCAGAAGAGGAGAGUGGAAUUCCACGUGUAGCGGUGAAAUGCGUAGAGAUGUGGAGGAACACCAGUGGGGAAGGGGACUCUCUGGUCUGUAACUGACGCUGAGGAGCGAAAGCGUGGGGAGCGAACAGGAUUAGAUACCCUGGUAGUCCACGCCGUAAACGAUGAGUGUUAAGUGUUAGGGGGUUUCCGCCCCUUAGUGCUGCAGCUAACGCAUUAAGCACUCCGCCUGGGGAGUACGGUCGCAAGACUGAAACUCAAAGGAAUUGACGGGGGCCCGCACAAGCGGUGGAGCAUGUGGUUUAAUUAGAAGCAACGCGAAGAACCUUACCAGGUCUUGACAUCCUCUGACAAUCCUAGAGAUAGGACGUCCCCUUCGGGGGCAGAGUGACAGGUGGUGCAUGGUUGUCGUC